CAAAUUGUGCGGGAAACAGGAAAAUAAGAGCAACCCAUGCAAUGAAAAUGUCCCACAUGAUGAACUUGAGAAUCCACUUGGCCCAUGACACAUAGAAAGGUGUCUUCUCGACAUAAUCAGCACCUCGACUCAGAAGAGGUUUCUCAACAGAUUGUUCAUCCAUAGGCAUAAAUUUCCUCUCUCUCUC